rnacentral:rRNA from 1 species
UGCCAGCCGCCGCGGUAAGACAGAGGGUGCAAACGUUGUUCGGAAUUACUGGGCGUAAAGCGCGUGUAGGCUGUUUUGCAAGUCGGGUGUGAAAGCCCAGGGCUCAACCUUGGAAGUGCACUCGAAACUGCAAGACUAGAAUCUCGGAGAGGGUAGCGGAAUUCUGGGUGUAGAGGUGAAAUUCGUAGAUAUCUGGAGGAACAUCAGUGGCGAAGGCGGCUCCCUGGCCAAAGACUGACGCUCAUGUGCGAAAGUGUGGGUAGCGAACAGGAUUAGAUA